GCGGCUGUAGCUCAGCUGGAUAGAGUACUUGGCUACGAACCAAGGGGUCGUGGGUUCGAGUCCUGCCAGCCGCGCCA
rnacentral:tRNA from 1 species